UACGUAGGGUGCGAGCGUUGUCCGGAAUUACUGGGCGUAAAGAGCUCGUAGGUGGUUUGUCGCGUUGUUCGUGAAAACUCACAGCUUAACUGUGGGCGUGCGGGCGAUACGGGCAUCACUUGAGUUCGGCAGGGGAGACUGGAAUUCCUGGUGUAGCGGUGAAAUGCGCAGAUAUCAGGAGGAACACCGAUGGCGAAGGCAGGUCUCUGGGCAUUAACUGACGCUGAGGAGCGGAAAGCAUGGGGAGCGAACAGG
rnacentral:rRNA from 1 species